CAGCCGCCGCGGGAAUACAGAGGGUGCGAGCGUUAAUCGGAUUUACUGGGCGUAAAGCGUGCGUAGGCGGCUUCUUAAGUCGGAUGUGAAAUUCCUGAGCUUAACUUAGGAAUUGCAUUCGAUACUGGGAAGCUAGAGUAUGGGAGAGGAUGGUAGAAUUCCAGGUGUAGCGGUGAAAUGCGUAGAGAUCUGGAGGAAUACCGAUGGCGAAGGCAGCCAUCUGGCCUAAUACUGACGCUGAGGUACGAAAGCAUGGGGAGCAAACAGGAUUAGAUACCCGAGUAGUCCCUGUCUCUUAUAA
rnacentral:rRNA from 1 species